GAGCGAGUUUCUGGACUCUCUGCGCCAGUAUCUGCGGGGGACCACUGGCGUGAGGAACUGCUUCCAGCACCUGCAGAGCCCCCUGUGUAAGGCGUUCCGGCACGUCAAGGUGGACACACUGAGCCAGCCUGAGGCCCUCUCCAGGAUCUUGGUGCCAGCUGCUUGGUGCACGGUGGGACGGGACUGACAGCCUCCCAGAGGCCCGUGGAGGAGCCCACCAGCCCCUUCUUCUUGUGAAGGAAAUCCCGUUUUUUUCUAGACAGACACUUUGGUGCAGAAGCUUCUUUUCAAUCCAUCCUCCACAAGAAGGUGUUUCCCUGUUGUUAAGUGAAGGAGGCCGCCCCUGCCCCCACCUGAGAAGGCAGAGCAGUGUCUGUGCUGCCAGGUCCUGGUGAAGCCCAAGGUUGAAGGGGGCGGCUUCCUGGAGCCAGCACCCCUGCCUCCUGGUCCUGGCCUCUCCCCUACCCCUCACAUGGCCACGCAUGACCCACACUGACCACACCCUGCCCUCUUCGGUGACAUUCUUCUACCUAGUAGGAGUCAUGCCCCUGUAGUGCCCAACCUAGCCAGGUAGCCACCACUGUGCCCAGGCGCCAAAUAAACCCUGGUUGGGAAGA
rnacentral:lncRNA from 1 species